UGGGAGGAAAAGUGGGGAUCGAAAGACCUUGCGCUCCUAGAGCGGCCGAUGUCUGAUUAGCUAGUUGGUGGGGUAAAGGCUUACCAAGGCGACGAUCAGUAGCUGGUCUGAGAGGACGACCAGCCACACUGGGACUGAGACACGGCCCAGACUCCUACGGGAGGCAGCAGUGGGGAAUUUUGGACAAUGGGGGAAACCCUGAUCCAGCCAUGCCGCGUGAGUGAAGAAGGCCUUCGGGUUGUAAAGCUCUUUCAGCCGGAACGAAACGGUCACGGCUAAUACCCGUGACUACUGACGGUACCGGAAGAAGAAGCACCGGCUAACUACGUGCCAGCAGCCGCGGUAAUACGUAGGGUGCAAGCGUUAAUCGGAAUUACUGGGCGUAAAGCGUGCGCAGGCGGUUUUGUAAGUCAGAUGUGAAAGCCCCGGCUAUUCCCAAUUUA
rnacentral:rRNA from 1 species